ACCACGGUGGUUUAGCGGUUAGAACGCUGGCCUUGUAAUCCUGGGGUCUCGGGUUCGAUUCCCGGUGGUG
rfam:Zootermopsis nevadensis contig4867, whole genome shotgun sequence.